rnacentral:rRNA from 1 species
GGGCCCGCACAAGCGGUGGAGCAUGUGGUUCAAUUCGACGCAACGCGAAGAACCUUACCCAGGCUUGAACUGCGAGUGACCACGUCCGAAAGGGCGCUUCCGCAAGGACACUCGUAGAGGUGCUGCAUGGCUGUCGUCAGCUCGUGUCGUGAGAUGUUGGGUUAAGUCCCGCAACGAGCGCAACCCUUGUUUGCUGUUGCCAUCACGUUAUGGUGGGCACUCUGCAAAGACUGCCGGUGAUAAACCGGAGGAAGGUGGGGAUGACGUCAAGUCAGCAUGGCCUUUAUGUCUGGGGCUACACACGUGCUACAAUGGCCGGUACAAACCGUCGCAAAACCGUAAGGUCGAGCUAAUCGGAGAAAGCCGGUCUCAGUUCGGAUUGUAGGCUGCAACUCGCCUGCAUGAAGUUGGAAUCGCUAGUAAUCGCGGAUCAGCACGCCGCGGUGAAUACGUUCCCGGGCCUU